UCCAGACUCCUACGGGAGGCAGCAGUGGGGAAUAUUGGGCAAUGGAGGAAACUCUUACCCAGCAAUGCCGCGUGAAUGAAGAAGGUCUUCGGAUUGUAAAGUUCUUUAAUUGGGGACGAAAAAAAUGACGGUACCCAAGGAAUAAGCCCCGGCUAACUACGUGCCAGCAGCCGCGGUAAUACGUAGGGGGCAAGCGUUAUCCGGAUUUACUGGGUGUAAAGGGAGCGUAGACGGCAGCGCAAGUCUGGAGUGAAAUCCCAUGGCUUAACCAUGGAACUGCUUUGGAAACUGUGCAGCUGGAGUGCAGGAGAGGUAAGCGGAAUUCCUAGUGUAGCGGUGAAAUGCGUAGAUAUUAGGAGGAACACCAGUGGCGAAGGCGGCUUACUGGACUGUAACUGACGUUGAGGCUCGAAAGCGUGGGGAGCAAACAGGAUUAGAUACCCUCGUA
rnacentral:rRNA from 1 species